ACGCUAGCGAUAGGCUUAACACAUGCAAGUCGAGGGGCAGCAUGGUCUUAGCUUGCUAAGACUGAUGGCGACCGGCGCACGGGUGCGUAACGCGUAUACAACUUGCCUCACAGAGGGGGAUAACCCGUCGAAAGACGGACUAAUACCGCGUACACUUACAGGAGGGCAUCCUCCAGUAAGGAAAUGAAAUUCGCUGUGAGAUAGGCAUGCGUCCCAUUAGCUAGUUGGUGAGGUAACGGCUCACCAAGGCGACGAUGGGUAGGGGAACUGAGAGGUUGAACCCCCACACUGGUACUGAGACACGGACCAGACUCCUACGGGAGGCAGCAGUGAGGAAUAUUGGUCAAUGGGCGAGAGCCUGAACCAGCCAAGUCGCGUGAAGGAUGACUGUCUUAUGGAUUGUAAACUUCUUUUAUACGGGAAUAACAAGAGCCACGAGUGGCUCCCUGCAUGUACCGUAUGAAUAAGCAUCGGCUAACUCCGUGCCAGCAGCCGCGGUAAUACGGAGGAUGCGAGCGUUAUCCGGAUUUAUUGGGUUUAAAGGGUGCGUAGGCGGCCUGUUAAGUCAGCGGUGAAAUCUAGGAGCUUAACUCCUAAAUUGCCAUUGAUACUGGCGGGCUUGAGUGUAGAUGAGGUAGGCGGAAUGCGUGGUGUAGCGGUGGAAUGCAUAGAUAUCACGCAGAACUCCGAUUGCGAAGGCAGCUUACUAAGGUACAACUGACGCUGUAGCACGAAAGCGUGGGUAUCAAACAGGAUUAGAUACCCUGGUAGUCCACGCAGUAAACGAUGAUAACUGGGCGUAUGCGAUAUACAGUAUGCUCCUAAGCGAAAGCGUUAAGUUAUCCACCUGGGGAGUACGCCGGCAACGGUGAAACUCAAAGGAAUUGACGGGGGCCCGCACAAGCGGAGG
rnacentral:rRNA from 1 species